UGGCUAAGGGACCAGGCGUUGGUGGGACUGCUCACGCGUGGCAGCGAAGCGGGCAGUCAUGACCGCACUUCAAUUUCUGGUCACACUUCAAAGUACAACCUCCGUUGGUUAACGACCAGUGAUCUGGCUCCGCGAUGUAGGUUUUGGCCUGGUGGUUGCCACAGGUAAUUGGAACGCGAUAUCCGAUUCUCCUUGGGCCGCAAUUGACAAUCUAAACAACCUCCCACCAAAGCGGGUUGGACACCGCAAGAAACUCUGCGUUUCCAAAAAUAUAAAACCCCCGUUUUGCCCUUGACAGAGCUACACACACUCGGUUUUCAACAGCAAGGAAUCCCAUAUUUCCAGAGUUCUCAUUACUACGGACCAGGGACAGCAGGACAAUUUCAUUUUCCUCCCCUUGAUACGAAUCGACUGUGGAUACCUUUAGAUACUGCCCCUGCAGAAUAUUAUUGUCUCUUAAAGCUUUCAGAAUUUUCUUUCGUUGACCGUUGUAAAAGGUCAAAAUGGUUAUGUCUUGCACAGGCACUCCGUUGAGGUGGAGAUAAAUGAAAAACCCGACAAUCAUGCGUGCUUCCCUAUCAUUAUACUUGGAUAGCAGACUAUCAGAAGACUCCGGCCAAUCAUGGCAGAAGAAGAAUGAGUUGACGCCGCCCAUUCCAGGAACUGCUGGUCUGGCCACCACUGACGGAUGGUCCUCUAGAUCGUCAUAUAUGGGCGCUAAAAUCCUUCUGAUUUCAGGGGCCAUACGCCGCUGCUUUGUCAAGGUUUUGAAGUCGAUUCCAUUGUGCACAAGGCGUUCAAACAAUGACACCUGGAGGAAAAAUGGCUCUCCUUCGAGCUCCUUAACUGCGCAGUUACCCUGAAGUUGUUUAUGGUCCCCAAUGAGGAUAAGAUGUUCUAAUGACUUUACACAUGCUGCGGUAAUGGGGGCUUCUAUCACCUCAGCUGCCUCUUCAAUCAUAAUUAUCUUUGGCUUUACACUCGAAAUAAGGGCACGAUAUUUGCUUAGGCCGGUUGUCGUCAUGCCCACAACCCUUGCAGAUUGAAUAAUUGUCGAAUUUAACUCCCACUUCCCAGUUUUAAGAUUCUCAGCGGCCAUUUCGUAUCUCUUCGCAAAGGAACGAAACAAGGCUCGAAUGGCUGCCUUCGCAAGUUUUUGAAAUAUCGAGUAAACUCCCCCACGGUCGCGCGAAGGAACUUUCCAGAGAUCGUCGUACUCUAAAUACCGGGCUCGCAAAGCCUCUGCUGCUGCUGCUGCGGAAAGGCUGUGUCCUCUAACUUGCUCCAUUAACGACAUAUAUGGACCCCUCAAAUAUUCGGAAUCUUCCUCAUCAAGACCUUGUUCCAUUUCCAGUUCCUUGAGCUGCUCGUAUUCAAGAUCGAUGUCAUCCUCAACAAAACCAAAGUUGUCCGCUUGGUAAACUACUUCGAAUUUGACUUUUCUAUCUCCGAGCCAGGCAGAAAGAGGUUCCACUUGAUCGCCCCC
rnacentral:sRNA from 1 species